rnacentral:rRNA from 1 species
AUUGAACGCUGGCGGCAUGCUUUACACAUGCAAGUCGAGCGGCAGCGCGGGGGGCAACCUUGGCGGCGAGCGGCGAACGGGUGAGUAAUGCAUCGGAACGUAUCCUGUAGUGGGGAAUAACUCACCGAAAGGUGAGCUAAUACCGCAUAAGCUCUGAGGAGGAAAGCGGGGGACCGAAAGGCCUCGCGCUGCAGGAGCGGCCGAUGUCCGAUUAGCUAGUUGGUGAGGUAAAGGCUCACCAAGGCGACGAUCGGUAGCUGGUCUGAGAGGAUGAUCAGCCACACUGGGACUGAGACACGGCCCAGACUCCUACGGGAGGCAGCAGUGGGGAAUUUUGGACAAUGGGGGAAACCCUGAUCCAGCCAUGCCGCGUGAGUGAAGAAGGCC